GACGUAGGUGGCGAACGUUAUCCGGAAUCAUUGGGCGUAAAGGGCGCGUAGGCGGCUCUGCACGUCCGUUGUGAAAUCGCCCGGCUCAACUGGGCGGGGUCAGCGGAUACGGCGGAGCUUGAGCAAGCUAGGGGGCAAUGGAAUUCCCGGUGUAGUGGUGGAAUGCGUAGAUAUCGGGAGGAACACCAGUGGCGAAGGCGGCAUCCUGGCCCUGACCUGACGCUCAGGGGCGAAAGCGUGGGGAGCAAACCGG
rnacentral:rRNA from 1 species